rnacentral:misc_RNA from 1 species
AUUCCCACAAAUUACCAUGGAGAGGUGGUUACUAUUAAAGGCAAUGAUCCCGAUGCUGUAGUUCCUGGUUUAAUGGCUGCUGGAGAGGCAGCCUGUGCAUCAGUCCACGGUGCCAAUCGGCUUGGUGCAAAUUCUCUACUUGACAUUGUUGUUUUUGGUCGAGCUUCUGCAAAUAGAGUGGCAGAGAUCCAUAGACCAGGGGAGAAACAGAAGCCUUUGGA